AUUGAACGCUGGCGGCAUGCCUUACACAUGCAAGUCGAACGGCAGCACGGGUGCUUGCACCUGGUGGCGAGUGGCGAACGGGUGAGUAAUACAUCGGAACAUGUCCUGUAGUGGGGGAUAGCCCGGCGAAAGCCGGAUUAAUACCGCAUACGAUCUACGGAUGACAGCGGGGGACCUUCGGGCCUCGCGCUAUCGGGUUGGCCGAUGGCUGAUUAGCUAGUUGGUGGGGUAAAGGCCUACCAAGGCGACGAUCAGUAGCUGGUCUGAGAGGACGACCAGCCACACUGGGACUGAGACACGGCCCAGACUCCUACGGGAGGCAGCAGUGGGGAAUUUUGGACAAUGGGCGAAAGCCUGAUCCAGCAAUGCCGCGUGUGUGAAGAAGGCCUUCGGGUUGUAAAGCACUUUUGUCCGGAAAGAAAUCCUUGGCCCUAAUACGGUCGGGGGAUGACGGUACCGGAAGAAUAAGCACCGGCUAACUACGUG
rnacentral:rRNA from 1 species